rnacentral:rRNA from 1 species
CCUACGGGAGGCAGCAGUGAGGAAUAUUGGUCAAUGGCCGUAAGGCUGAACCAGCCAAGUCGCGUGAAGGAAGAAGGAUCUAUGGUUUGUAAACUUCUUUUAUAGGGGAAUAAAGGUAUCCACGUGUGGAUAUUUGCAUGUACCCUAUGAAUAAGCAUCGGCUAACUCCGUGCCAGCAGCCGCGGUAAUCGGGGGGGUGCGAGCGUUAUCCGGAUUUACUGGGUUUAAAGGGUGCGUCGGUUGUGUUUUAAGUCAGCGGUGAAAGGUUGUGGCUUAACCAUAAAAUUGCCGUUGAAACUGGAAGACUUGAGUGUGUUAGAGGUAGGCGGAAUGCGUGGUGUAGCGGUGAAAUGCAUAGAGAUCACGAAGAACUCCGAUUGCGAAGGCAGCUUACUAAGCCAUAACUGACACUGAAGCACGAAAGCGUGGGGAUCAAACAGGAUUAGAUACCCCUGUAGUC